rnacentral:rRNA from 1 species
UACAGAGGGUGCGAGCGUUAAUCGGAAUUACUGGGCGUAAAGCGCGCGUAGGCGGCUUUGCAAGUCGGGUGUGAAAUCCCCAGGCUUAACCUGGGAACUGCAUUCGAGACUGCAUUGCUAGAGUAUGGGAGAGGGAAGUGGAAUUUCCGGUGUAGCGGUGAAAUGCGUAGAUAUCGGAAGGAACAUCAGUGGCGAAAGCGGCGCCCUGGCUCGACACUGACGCUCAGACACGACAGCAUGGGGAGCGAACGGG